rnacentral:lncRNA from 1 species
GAAUUACCUGAACUCCUUCGUUCACUCAUGCAAAGUACAUAUUUGUAUUUCAGACACGAAUCUUGGGACUUCAACACAAAUCAAAUUCUUCCUUCACUAUAAUUUAUGAUAUAGUGAAUUGAUGAGAUUGGUGUGAACCUUUAGAGAUUGUGAGGCUGCUACUUACCAAUUUUAAUAUCACUCACUAAUAUGUAGAAUACUAUAUUUUACACCUUGUCUCCCUUGUGAGAUCAAUCACUAUGAUAGGGAUGAAAACACAAUUUCUUUGUCCUUAUACAUGAAAUACUGAAUAGCAAGAAUCAGGCUAUAAUAUGUUCUUUAGUAUCUCAACAAUGAACAAGAAUCAGCAAAAUUCCCUGUUUGUUCUUUGUUUGGCCAUCCUCUUUGAGAACUAGGAGAAGCUAUUUGUCUCCACCUCGAUCACAUUUUUAUGCACCAUGGGUCCCUAUAUAGAUGGCAGACCUUUGUAUGCAUGGUAAAAUGCGGAUGUUAGAUACUGCACUAACCACCAACCACCAUGGAUAUGUAGCUAGAUUAGGCAAAUUGUUGCAAUUAAGAUUGACCACAAAGCUCUCUCUAAUGAACUAUCACUAUAAAAGGCCAAUUUAGGUUACAGAGUUUCAGUUUCAGGUGCAAAGUUGUCUGAUGUCUUUUGUGUUCUUCUGCGAGUUCUGAUUUCUGUGCACCCUUAUCUAUGUUUUGACCCCUAGGUUCGAUUCGAGAUGUUUCAGAUGUAUCCCCAGCAUAAAAAUUUGAUCCAAGCCAGCAACUCCAAUGAACAAGGUAGUACUCAAACAAAUCAUCAUCAAGAGAACAAUGAAACAUGUAUUUCUCCAACUAUUUCAGUAAUAUAAUUUGUUUUCACCCAACAUUUCUACAAUAAUGACACGCACAUGGAGAUCUAUUUCUCUCUGGCACAAGACGGAUUAGUGGGACCAAAAAGUUGGGGCAAACGGUUCAGAAGAAAUUGUACUCGCAAGCAAUAGAGCAGAAGAUCAC